CGACAUUAUCUUUCUUGAUCGUUGAGUUUCAGCAAUGUAAAUGAAAUGAAUUUUAUAGCCAGUCCAUAACGGGUUUUAAUCCUGUGCUUUUACAGUCAGAAUAGCAAUAUUGUUUACACAUGUUGGCGAUGUUUAGGAAAUCAAAGACAAAGGAUCCCGUUAUAAAAUAAAUCUUUUGUUUUGAAUAUCGGACAGGAUACACUUCAACUAUAAAGAACCAUAUCGUUCGUUCAGUACCGUUUGAUCGAUCAGUCUGUCUAGAAGAUAUGUAUGUUUCUACGGCGAUACGUGCUAAACUUCGCAGGCCAGGCGCGUGUGGAGUGUUUUCCUUGCAAGUGAAAUAUGAUCCAGCUUCUCGCUUGAAAUGUAACGCAACACUUAUUAUUGAUGACAUUCAG